rnacentral:rRNA from 1 species
GAUGAACGCUGGCGGCGUGCCUAAUACAUGCAAGUCGAGCGAACAGACGAGGAGCUUGCUCCUCUGACGUUAGCGGCGGACGGGUGAGUAACACGUGGAUAACCUACCUAUAAGACUGGGAUAACUUCGGGAAACCGGAGCUAAUACCGGAUAACAUGUUGAACCGCAUGGUUCAACAGUGAAAGACGGUCUUGCUGUCACUUAUAGAUGGAUCCGCGCCGCAUUAGCUAGUUGGUAAGGUAACGGCUUACCAAGGCAACGAUGCGUAGCCGACCUGAGAGGGUGAUCGGCACACUGGAACUGAGACACGGUCCAGACUCCUACGGGAGGCAGCAGUAGGGAAUCUUCCGCAAUGGGCGAAAGCCUGACGGAGCAACGCCGCGUGAGUGAAGAAGGUCUUCGGAUCGUAAAACUCUGUUAUUAGGGAAGAACAAAUGUGUAAGUAACUAUGCACGUCUUGACGGUACCUAAUCAGAAAGCCACGGCUAACUACGUG